CUAAACACAUGCAAGUCGCACGAGAAAGGGACUUCGGUCCUGAGUACAGUGGCGCACGGGUGAGUAACACGUGAAUAAUCUACCUCCGAGUGGGGAAUAACUGAGAGAAAUCUUAGCUAAUACCGCAUAACACUUACGAGUCAAAGCAGCAGUGCGCUUGGAGAGGAGUUCGCGGCAGAUUAGUUAGUUGGCGGGGUAAUGGCCCACCAAGACGAUGAUCUGUAGCCGGCCUGAGAGGGACACACGGCCACACUGGCACUGAAACACGGGCCAGACUCCUACGGGAGGCAGCAGUGGGGAAUCUUGCACAAUGGGGGAAACCCUGAUGCAGCGACGCCGCGUGAGCGAUGAAGCCCUUCGGGGUGUAAAGCUCUUUCGGCAGGGAAGAUUAUGACGGUACCUGCAGAAGCAGCUGCGGCUAACUACGUGCCAGCAGCCGCGGUAAUACGUAGGCAGCGAGCGUUGUUCGGAGUUACUGGGCGUAAAGGGUGUGUAGGCGGCUCUCUAAGUUUGGUGUGAAAUCUCCCGGUCAACCGGGAGGGUGCGCCGAAUACUGAAGGGCUAGAGUGCGGGAGAGGAAAGUGGAAUUCCUGGUGUAGCGGUGAAAUGCGUAGAUUCAGGAGGAACACCGGUGGUGUAGACGGUUUCUGGACCGUAACUGACGCUGAGACACGAAAGCGGUGGGGUAGGCCAAACAGGAUUUAGAUACCCUGGUAGUCCCAGGCCCCUUAAACGGAUGGCUAUUUGGGGGUGGGUCCAUUCCGGGUGGAUCCGGGGCGGGAACUUAAAGCGGUUAAAUAUUGCCGGCCUGGGGGAGUACAGGCGCAAAGGGUGGAACUCCAAAGGG
rnacentral:rRNA from 1 species